AAUCCAUGAUGUGGGCAUUUCAAAAUCAGUGUCUUAAAAUGCACCCAAGCUUUAUGGAAACUUUCUCCUUCUAAUUUCCUGAAUGUAGAGAUCUCCCUCCUUAGUUA
rnacentral:snoRNA from 1 species